UACGAAGGGGGCUAGCGUUGUUCGGAAUUACUGGGCGUAAAGCGCACGUAGGCGGAUAUUUAAGUCAGGGGUGAAAUCCCAGAGCUCAACUCUGGAACUGCCUUUGAUACUGGGUAUCUCGAGUAUGGAAGAGGUGAGUGGAAUUCCGAGUGUAGAGGUGAAAAUUCGUAGAUAUUCGGAGGAACACCAGUGGCGAAGGCGGCUCACUGGUCCAUUACUGACGCUGAGGUGACGAAGCGUGGGGAGCAAACAGG
rnacentral:rRNA from 1 species